UUUUAGCUGUGUUCGCGGACCUGAGAAGGUCGCUCGCUCUUCUUGGGGGGAAAGCCUUGGCUUGUGCCGUUGGAAGCAUGCAAAGACAGAGACAGCGCUCCAGUGUGCGUCGCACUUCCCGCCGAGGAUAUGUGCCCCCUCCUACAUUUGAUCAAGCACGAUCUCGGUCCCCUGGUCCGAGAAAGAAGUCCGUGGCGACGUGGACCGUGGUCCACCUUGGGUACCCCGUAUCAUGGGCUUCUCAUAAUAAGUGGUCAUCCCAGCCCCGCCCCCUCAGGAAUGCCGACCCCGCUACCACUCCGUUGCCGUUCCGCGGCUUGACCCUGCGAGAGAGACACCCCGCCGACCCUCUUCAACCCCUCUCUGCAGACGAACAACGACUCCUGUGUCCGGUCUGCCAGGUGCCGGAACUGCACAGAGCCACCCAUCGUCGAGGCGAGCUCCAUCGUUCCCGUACCGAACAAGCACGCCCCGAGGUCGUGGAUGUCGUUGCCGCCCUUGGCCACCUUACGUCGGCAUCGCCCAGAGUUACUACGGGAAACUGAGAGAGAGCUGGCGGCACCCAACCCAGCAGAGGACGAUAUUCUCACCGGGCUGGACCACAAUGAAGACCUGUAACUGCUUCCGCGUACUGUACAGUUUUGGGAGAGGGGAAGUGUGGGAUUUGUUUUGUGCUGUCGUCGACAGGUGUCACGAUAGACAGAUGGCGCGUGUCGCUUGCGCGCAGCUUAGGGGGCGGAUGCCCGAGGAGCUUAUCAUUUUAGCUGUGUUCGCGGACCUGAGAAGGUCGCUCGCUCUUCUUGUGGGGAAAGCCUUGGCUUGUGCCGUUGGAAGGUAUGAAAUAAACCCUUUGUUAAUUGUU